rnacentral:rRNA from 1 species
CGGCGGAUGGGUGAGUAACACGUGGGUAACCUACCUACAAGCUUGGGAUAACUCGUGGAAACGCGAACUAAUACCAAAUGCGAUCUUUUACCUCCUGGUAAAAGAUUAAAAGACGGUUUCGGCUGUCACUUGUAGACGGGCCCGUGGCGCAUUAGCUAGUUGGUGAGAUAAAAGCUUACCAAGGCAACGAUGCGUAGCCGACCUGAGAGGGUGAUCGGCCACACUGGGACUGAGACACGGCCCAGACUCCUACGGGAGGCAGCAGUAGGGAAUCUUCCGCAAUGGACGAAAGUCUGACGGAGCGACGCCGCGUGAAUGAUGAAGAUCUUCGGAUCGUAAAAUUCUGUUGUUAGGGAUGAACAAGUGUGAGCGUAACUACUCACACCUUGACAGUACUUAACCAGAAAGCCCCGGCUAACUACGUGCCAGCAGCCGCGGUAAUACGUAGGGGGCGAGCGUUGUCCGGAAUUAUUGGGCGUA